UAACAGCUCUGCUGCUAUGGCAGCCAGGGAAUAUUUAGCAAACAGACCUAGAACAUCUGCAGAGCUCUGGAUUCCGACACGAGAACCGUCAGGUAGUCAGGGAUAUCGGCUGCAGAUUUCCCCUGAGCUUCAACAAGCAAAUUUUCAACAAGCUCAUUAAUCAAGACAGGAGACAUUUUUGGAUAUUCAGAGGGGAAAAGGAACAUCAUGAUUAUUAGGAAAUAAUCCUAAUAGAUACUUAAAUGAAUAACAAGAGAGAUAAGUGGAGGGAAAUAAUAGCAGGCUGUCCUGGAAAUGUUGGGUUUAAGGAAAGCAGAACAUCCCCAUAAGAGCCUCUUGAACCCCCAAAUGUCUUCAGGAACUCAAGGCGCUGGUGAAUCGGACUAUAAUAGACUGCCAGGUGUUAUCCAGCAGCUAGGAUUUAGAGCAACAGAGAUUUUGGAAGCCCCAGGCUGGAGCGAAUUUCUCAGGAUGAGACCUAGCCAGCCUCACCCCGCCAGGGUAAAAAAGAAACUGUAGAGGAGGCAAAUUUCAGCAGACCCAUUUCAGAAGAAGAAAUGGGAGGAAGAAGCGCCAAGAUUCCAACGCCAAGAUUACAACUCUUCAGAGUUGUAAUCAGAUGCUUAACCAACUGCGCAACCGCUCUCGACUGUUUAACAUCAUCGGUCUAUGAAGCCCUGAAUCUUUGGGGCACAAUUGCUUCACAGGCUGCAGAAAUAAAUUGGGGCAAUCCACGUCUGAAAGAGACCCAACUCAGCUGACCACCCUCUGGCUGCACAGUUUUGCUUCCUUUCUUUCCAUCUGUUCAUCUUUAAAGUCCCCUUCUGGGCAAUGAGGAGGGGGGUGCCAUUACAGAGAUGCUGGUUGGA